UAUGAAUUUGCUGAUUGAAUCCAUGGCACCCUUUGAGAUGCGGUUCUGUUGGUUUUGAAUGUCUGUGGUCUUCAAGAUCCUCUACAACCGAGAUUCUUAACUUAGGGUCUAGGAAGCCUCUGAAACUGGAUGUAAACUACAGGCUCACGUGUGCUUUUCAGGGGGAGGCAUCUACAGAACUCAACAUAUUCUCUAUACUGUUUAAGGCCCCCAAGAAACCGAGAAACACUGGCAAAAACGAAGAAGCAUGUGCCACUGGAAAAGUCAUCCUAAACCACUGUUUUACAGAGAGCGGCACUCCAGGACCGGGAGGAGCCUUUGGGAUGGUCCAGUGGGGCUAAGCCGACAGACCCGAACAGAUGCCUGAGGACCAAGACAGAUGCCUGGAUGGGAAAAACGUUUGAUGGAUUUCACGCAGGAGGAUCUGACAAUGUAUAUUACGGAUGGCAUAUGCAGUUUCCAUGGUGGGGAGAGUGUCAGUUGGGAGUUCCUUACCAACAGAUACCUGAGUCAAGAGGGCACUCAAAAAUGACAGCAUCUAUUCCAAAUUGGACAGCAGUGAACAUCUUGGCAUUUCUCUUCCUUGGAAAAGAAUUUUAUAAUUGCCAAUCAAAAUGGACCUGAGACCUACUGUCCAGGAAAAGUUGGUGCCUUUUGGCAUAAGUACACUUGCUCUGCUCUUG